GCCAGCAUGGCAUAGUGGUUUGAGUGUUGGACUACAACUCUGGAGACCAGGGUUCGAUUCCCAGCUUGGCC